GGGGGUAUAGCUCAGGGGUAGAGCAUUUGACUGCAGAUCAAGAGGUCCUGGUUCAAAUCCAGGUGCCCCCU
rnacentral:tRNA from 3 species